UAAUACGGAGGGUGCAAGCGUUGUCCGGAUUUAUUGGGUUUAAAGGGUGCGCAGGUGGUUUAUUAAGUCAGUGGUGAAAGACGGUCGCUCAACGAUUGCAGUGCCAUUGAAACUGGUAGACUUGAGUAAAGUAGAGGUGGGCGGAAUUGAUAGUGUAGCGGUGAAAUGCAUAGAUAUUAUCAAGAACUCCAAUUGCGUAGGCAGCUCACUUGGCUUUUACUGACACUCAUGCACGAAAGUGUGGGUAUCAAACAGG
rnacentral:rRNA from 1 species